rnacentral:misc_RNA from 1 species
CAUCUUCGAUGUCGAGAGCACACGCGCGCACAGCUGCACAAGGAUUAUAUCUCUCCCUUUUUCCUUUACCGCACCCGUAGUUGGUUCCACGCAUACACAGAGUCUGCAGCACUACGCUUUUUGCACGUGCGCCAUGCCGCCGACGGCGCUGAAGAGCUACAUGGUCGAGCUCUCUCGGUACAUGGACGCCUUCACGUCUGCAUCGGGCAAACCGCAGCACCUCACGAUUGUUGGCGAUCGUGUCUACUGGACGCAGGGCAAGCAGCAGGAGCUGUACUCGGCGCCGGUCGGCUUGGAAGUCGCCGAGGCGGUCCGUGUCAUUGCCUCAGAGGAGCAGGAAGUCGGGGAAGAGGAGCAGCUCACCAAGGAAGAGGAGAUGCUGCGCGAGCGGACGCGCAGCCAGACGACGGGCAUCAAGAAUUUUCACGUUCGCUGGAGUGAUGGCGCCAUCUUCUACACGAGCGGCGUCGAAGUGUAUGUCUACUACCAGAACGGGCCGCGUGCCGGCAAGACCCCUCUGAAGCUGUUCGACUACAUGUCUGAGGAAGACAAGACUCACUUCAAGGCGAUGGGCAGCAAGCCAAACCUCUUUGUGCAGGCCAUCAAGUCCUUUGACGAGUCGCACCCGAGCACCCACACCGUCAUGACCUUUGUCAAUAAUAACAAUGUGUACAAGGCAACCCUGACGGAGAGCCCCGCAAGCGAGGAGGCGCCACUGGCCGUCGCCGUGGAACAGAUCACGCACAUCGGCGACGACCUGCACCAGUGCGGUGUGGCGGAUUACAUCAUCCAGGAAGAGUUCUCGCGGUACACGGGGCACUACGCGACGGACCGGUACAUCGUCUUCUCCUACAUCGACUCCUCCCACAUGCGCUCUGUGGCCCUGCUCAGCAGUCUGGGAUCUCCUGAGGUGCCGGAAGCGGAGCCGGCGUGCCAGACCUACGCGACAGAGACGGAGGAGAUGCCGUACUCCCGUGUCGGUGACCCGAACGCGCGCACGACACUUGUCGUGUACGACAUCGCCACGAAGCAGAUGCGUCUGCUCCCUGACGUCGCCAUUCGAAAGGCGGCACCGUGGACGGAGUACAUUCUUCGCUUCGGCUUCAAAGAUGCAGAAACGCUUUAUGUCUCCGUCGUGAGUCGCGCACAGGAGGACUACGCGGUGAUGAGCUGCCCCAUCGCAGCGCUGCCCACCAUCGCCAAAGAAGAAGACCUGCGGUCCCUCUACAGUGACACGGGCGGUCCAGUCACUGCGAACAUUAUUGGCGAUGCCGCCGCGCCGGGGUUGCACGUGGAGUGGAAGCAACGCAUUGACUUUGCGUGGGUGGAGUGCCAGCCCGGGGUGCCGGUGCACUACGGCAAGGUGUACGACGUGCUUUGCCGCCACGCAGCAGAGACGGAGACGGCGCACUACCACCUCUACGCCCGUCCCGCCGGCGACGGCAAUCCAGAGGCAUGGAAACCGCUGACGGCGGGAGCGUGGAAUGUGUGCGCGGGCACGCAGCAUGUGUGUGAGGACCGCGUGUACUUCCUGGCGAACGCCGAAGGUCGCCUGAAGCGCACGCUCUACUCCGUGCCGCUCUCGCUGGAGAGUGCGCCGCGCAUCGCCGACGCACUGACGCGCCUCACUCCGCUGGACGAGCACGUCUACAGCUACUGUGUCAAGGGUGACCAUCUCUACUAUGUCUCCAGCACCGCCGCUGCACCGGCGAAGCUCUACGCGAGCUGCGUCUCAGCACCGCAGAAGAGAGCGGAGGUCACCGUUCCGUCAUGGAUUGCCACAACGCCAGGAACCGACCCGGCCACAACAGCAGAUCCAACCCACUACUUUGGCGGCCUGCCGGUCGUGACUCCGCAAAUUGUGACCGUGACGAGCCGUCGUGGGGUACCACUGAGCGCAGCGGUGUUCGUCUCGCCAAGCGCGCCAAAGGAUGCACCAGGGCCACUAGCUCUGCUCAUCUACGGCGGACCACAUGCGCAGCUCGUGUUCGAGAAUGACUACGAGACCCGCUGCAAGGCCCCGGUGCAGGUAUUGCUGCAGCACGGCAUCUCUGUUGCUGUAGUGGACAACCAAAUGAGCAACGCUAACGGGUUGCGUGACUUGAGCAUCUGCAAGAAGAACUUUGGCAACUUCGAGACACACGACUAUGUCGAUGUGACUCAGUACCUCUGCAGCACGCCGGCGUCCGAGAGCGGUUGCCCCGCCAACUUCCGUUUUGACGCGAAGCGUGUGGCGAUCUUUGGCUGGUCCUACGGCGGCUAUGCAGCCCUCCUCGCCAUGUGUCAGGCGGCGGAUGUCUUUCGGAUCGGCUUCGCGGGUGCGCCAGUUGGCGACUGGAAACUGUACGACACAGGCUACACAGAGCGCUACAUGGGGACCCUUUACAGGGAGGACAGCAGCGCUGAAAGCGGUGCAUCGCGAAACAGGAACGAGGCGUACAUGACGUCCACCAUCAGCCAUUACGCCGGCGGCUUUCCCGAGGAGUGCAACCGCCUCUACAUCGCACACGGCCUCCUCGACGAGAACGUGCACUUUGGCCACAGCUGCCACGUGGUGAAGGCAUUAAUCGACAACGCCAAGCCGUACAGCAUGCUCGUGUACCCCGGGGAGCGCCACGGCCUGCGUCAGAACCGCCAAUCACGCUUGCACCACGACGCACUUCUCGUCAAGACACUAGAGGAGCAGCUCUAGCACAGAGGCCUAGAAGAACGGGAAGAGAUGAUCGCAUUUCUGUCAAAGUCACCUUCUUUUUACGCCUCCACGUCAUGCUUUUACUGCCGCCGACGUCUCGCUAUCGGAGACGAGAAGCUGCAGAUCUUAUCCGCCAUGUUUGCCAGUGUACCAUUGAGGGUCUCCUGAGGGUGUCGCAUGUUCUGUUCUUGAGCCUCGUCGCCUUGUGUUCGCCUCCGUCUCACCUCCUCGUUCAUCCUUCGUUUCGCACAUGCCCUCCUCUUCCACUGAUCCACCCCGUGAUAUCGGCCCUUCCUCUGCUCUCUCCCAGAAGGCCUACACCGCUUCUGAUGGCAGGGGGACGCACCUGACUGCGUGGUAUCACAGGAUCCAGUGCCCCCACUCUAUGUGUGCGGAGGCCAAGCAGCGCCCCUCCACCCCCCCUCUAUCCCUGCCAAAAUGUGAAACCACCCCUGGUGGUUGCAGGGUCAUGCGCCUACGACAUGGGGGGAGGUCAGAGCGAUGCAUCACUGCUGAUAUCGGCGGGCAGGUCCUGGAUAGCGUUGCGCCGGUGCGAGGUGCAACACUGCACACGUGUGUACCAUCCAUGUGAUUAGGCAGAGUGUCGGCGUGGCCCAAACGUACCUCACCCGGCCACAGCGAGGGAUGCACCAGGUGACGGAAGGCACCAUGGGAUCGGCUGUGGGGCGGCCUGCGAGGCGGUGUGUGGGCAUAGUUUGAGGAAGGGGUCGUGCUCGAUGACUGAGUCAGCGCAUGGCUUGUACCACGUGUCUGCAGCUGCUUCGCACCACGCCGACGGGGGCCUGUGACAGGACAGGUAGACUGGAGUGGGAACUCGUGCUGCAUUGCCGAGAGCAGGGCACACGUUGAGUAAAAAAGCGAAACGCUUGCAGACGAUGCUUUGCCGCAUGAAUCCAGGCUAUGAAGGAAAACGUGAUGAGCGCCGCAACGCGCCGUUGGCCGACACUCUCCCCUCUCACAGGCAACCGACAGUCGAGAGGGUGGCAUUGAGCUCAAAGAAGGGGCCCUUGGAAAAACAAAGAGACGACCGUCCCGCCUCUCACGCUGCUUGCCUCUCCUACACCGACGCCCCACCCACCUCCCCCCCGUCAUCUGCCAGCCAGUGGUCCUGCUCGCUUUCUGUUGAAGAGGGAGUGAAGGACGCUGAGCACGUACUACAGCACACUGCGCG